UUUGGGCAGGGCUCAUGAGGAGAGCAUGAAUGAGGGUCCAUCAGUUGCCAAAUCUAGUACCCCAGGUGGUGAAGGUGUUGUCAGUGCCAGUCCUGGACAAGGCACAUCUGGAGAGCACCUUGAGGAGAUGAUUCAGCAGAUCUACAAAAGUAUCACAAAUAAACUCAACAACACCAGUCUGUGCCUUUCUGGAAGCCUACAGCAAAAUUGAUGAUACUUCCCUCACAUUAGCUGUGCAUUGUGUCUGCAUUGCUUUGGUAAGGUGCCACAGCUGAAAUAAAAAAAAUCUCCAGUCUUCAAAAAUGAUUGGUGUAAAACCAGCAGCUCUUGCUAGAAGAAAAGCAGCAUUAGAAGGGAGGACCAGCAGUGAUACCUUGGCCACCUUCUAAGCGCUCAAGGACUGAGCAUAUGUAUUUAAAAAAAACGGCAGUGCAGGAGAAGUGAAGUGCACCCCAUUCCAUAUCAAACUGUGUAGAGGAAAACACAUCUCGGUGAUAAUCACAAGCUCAACUGCAGUGCACCUCACCCUUCCCAUCCUAGCCAGGGGAUGGACACUCAACUUCCCCAUUUCAAAGUGUUUUUUAAUGAACUGACUCAUGCAUGAAUGUAUUUGCUAUGGUCAGCAGUAAACAAUGUUAAGUAUAGCGACUUGACAGUAAGGCUCAGUAGCUCAUGUAGCAGUGUAUUGUGCUAAAGUUAUAUUACCUUUACUUCUGCUUAUUAUAGUAUAGAACAAUAUGUAACUGUUGCAGUAUUCCCGUUUAUUUAAUUUACCAGGCAGUCUUGAUUAUAUCUUGUUUAUUUCUGCUGAAGUGUGUAAUAGUUAAUAGUUUUUAUGAGCAAGAUAUCACUAAAAAUGUACUUUUAGUGGUGGAAGAAGUUGGGGAGAAGUCAGAUCCUUCUACGUUAAAGCAACAACACCUCAGUGUAAAUGUAUUCAUGCAUUCAACACUUUGCACGAGUAAAAUACAUAAGUAUUAUCAGCAAAAUCUUACAGAGAGUAGAGGUACAAAGAAUGACUGUUUCCAGAGAAAUGUUGGAAUCUUAGUGUUGAUGCAUUAAUCCUUAUUGAUUAAUCAAUGCUAGUCACUGCCUGUGCUCGUUUGUGAAAUCAUUUAAAGCUACACUUACCUUUCUGGGAAUUUUACACUUUUCUUUGUUUAGGUUAAAAUGCUAUUAAUAAGCUGAUGGUACACUAAAAUGUAAGUGAAUUCCACCAGAAAUAAAAACUCAUAAAUAUACCAUUCUCAUAUGGUUCUAAGAAAAAAGUUUUCUCCUGGAGGCCUCCGACUGACGUAACCACUCGCGUAGCAUCUCCCCACCACACCCCCACCCCCGAGUCUGUGAGACAACAAAUACGCUAGUAACAGGGACGCUUGUGGAUAUAAACUAGCAACAGGGACGCUUGUGGGUAUAAACUAUAAUUACGGUGCAACAAGAAGUAAAUUCUUCAGUGCAAUACAGUCGCGAGUUUCAAACAGACAUUAGAAACCGCUGCAGAGAUCUAACGCUACAACCGCGAGAGCUCAGGAUGUGUAGCAAGCUUGGCCUGUUACGUUGAGCUAGCCCUGAGAUGACCGUGGUAUCGCCUGGAGCUGUCCUGACAGGGAGACGCUGGCAGCGCUGUGACAGGAAGCGGGAGCAGGGGAAGCGUGGAGCGGACGUUUGCCAGAAGGACGCUGGGAACAGCUGGUUUGAUGGGGUUAGCUCUCAGCCUAACCCCAUCAAACCAACUGUUCCCAGCAUCCUUCUGGCGAAUGUCCGCUUGCUGGACACGAAAAAGGAUUACAUCCGACUGUGGAGAUCCACUCACCGAGGUGUGAGGGACUGCUGUGUCCUUGUGUUCACUGAGACAUGCGUGAAUGGCAACAUAUCAGACUCCAGUGUUGAGCUAACGGGGUUAACACUAUAUAGAGCAGACGGGGAGGCUGCGUCAUCCGGUAAGCUCCGUGGUGUAUACACAAACAAUUCAUGGUGCUGUGAUGUGAAGAGGAUCUCCCAGUUCUGCUCUCAGGAGUUUUUGACUGUGAAAUGUCGACCCUUUUCAUCUUACUAUUGCACUAUAUGUUCUUUCUUAUAUGUUGCACAAAUUGUUUUUAAAUGUUGUUUUUUUUUGCUUUGGGUAUGCGAAAUGUCGUUUCGUUUUUGUGCUGCGCAUAAAAAUGACAGAGAAGUUCAGUUCAGUUCGUAACGUUAUAUAUGACAAUACAGCAUCCAGUUGCUAACUGCUAACGUUGGCCUACUGUAGUGUAGCCUCUGAAACAUUAACGUUA